AUGUGCUUUAAAAUUGUUAGUGGGACUAGCUAUUUAGAUAUAGAAGAUUGUAGGGUUGUGGUGGGCAGCACAGAAACACUCAAAUGGAUGCCGAAACAAUCCACAAAAGGCAAUUCACACAAAAUCAGAGACUGGGAAGUUACACCACGUGACACAUGUGGUAAGCAAUCCAGACUACGCAAAAAGAGACUGGGAAGUUACUAUGAUCACUGCAGAGUGUUCACCAACGAUGACAAAAGAAAACAAACAAGGCUAUCACUAUAUAUACAAAUGACAGAUAUCUUAAAAAGUCGCCACCAUUCCUUCCUUGCUGUUACAGAUGUUAAGGUGGCUGCUCAGAUUGAAAAUAGCUUGUCUUCCACUCUGCAGAUAAAAUAA
rnacentral:rRNA from 1 species